AACUUUGAAGACUGAAGUGGAGAAGGGUUCCACGUCUACCGCAUUAGUGCGUUGGGUGAGUCGAUCCUAAGGUUAAGGGGGAGAUCCUUUAUCUUACCAAGACCAAAAGGGAAAAGGGUUAAUAUUCCCUUACCUAGGACAUGGCCUGCAAGCGGCAACGCAUACGAGCUCGCAGACACUCACACCGAUACCGGGGAGAGCUCUCUUCUCUCCUCAAUGGCCACCAAACCUCGAAGUAGGGUUAUCCUGAGAAGAGGUCCUGUGGUUAGAAGAGCCUUGACCGGAGUUCAGGGUCCGGUUAAUCGGUAGGGGUCCAUGAAAAUGCGAGGGAGUGAUAUAGUUCCAUGACCAAGGUCGUACCCAUAACCGCAUCAGGUCUCCAAGG
rnacentral:rRNA from 1 species